GAUGAAGAACGUAGCAAAAUGCGAUACUUGGUGUGAAUUGCAGAAUCCCGUGAACCAUCGAGUUUUUGAACGCAAGUUGCGCCCGAAGCCUUUUGGCCGAGGGCACGUCUGCCUGGGCGUCACGCAUCGCGUCGCCCCCCACAAUUCUUCGUAAAGGGAACAUGUGUUUUGGGGGCGGAUAUUGGUCUCCCGUGCUCAUGGCGUGGUUGGCCGAAAUAGGAGUCCCUUCGAUGGACGCACGAACUAGUGGUGGUCGUAAAAACCCUCGUCUUUUGUUUUGUGCUGUUGCUCGCAAGGUAAACUCUUUAAAAACCCCAAUGUGCCGUCUCUUGACGACGCUUCGACCGCGACCCCAGGUCAGGCGGGACUACCCGCUGAGUUUAAGCAUAUCAAUAAGCGGAGGA
rnacentral:misc_RNA from 1 species